rnacentral:rRNA from 1 species
GCCCUAGUAACGGCGAGUGAAGCGGCAACAGCUCAAAUUUGAAAUCUGGCGUAAGCCCGAGUUGUAAUUUGUAGAGGAUGCUUCAGGGCAGCGGCCGGUCUAAGUCUCUUGGAACAGGGCGUCAUAGAGGGUGAGAAUCCCGUAUGCGACCGGCUGGCACCCGUCACGUAGCUCCUUCGACGAGUCGAGUUGUUUGGGAAUGCAGCUCUAAAUGGGAGGUAAAUUUCUUCUAAAGCUAAAUACCGGCCAGAGACCGAUAGCGCACAAGUAGAGUGAUCGAAAGAUGAAAAGCACUUUGGAAAGAGAGUUAAAAAGCACGUGAAAUUGUUGAAAGGGAAGCGCAUGCAACCAGACUUGUCGGCGGUGUUCCGCCGGUCUUCUGACCGGUCUACUCGCCGCCGGCAGGCCAGCAUCAUCUGGGCGCGCCGGACAAAGGCGCGGGGAAUGUGGCUCCUCGGAGUGUUAUAGCCCCGCGCACAAUACGGCGCCGCCCGGGUGAGGUCCGCGCUUCGGCUAGGAUGCUGGCGUAAUGGUUGUCUGCGGCCCGUCUUGAAACACGGACCAAGGAGUCUAACAUCUAUGCGAGUGUUCGGGUGUCAAACCCCUACGCGGAAUGAAAGUGAACGGAGGUGGGAAGCGCAAGCUGCACCAUCGACCGAUCCUGAUGUCUUCGGAUGGAUUUGAGUAAGAGCAUAGCUGUUGGGACCCGAAAGAUGGUGAACUAUGCCUGAAUAGGGUGAAGCCAGAGGAAACUCUGGUG